GACGAACGCUGGCGGCGUGCCUAAUACAUGCAAGUCGAGCGCAGGAAGCCGUCUGAACCCUUCGGGGGGACGACGGUGGAAUGAGCGGCGGACGGGUGAGUAACACGUAAAGAACCUGCCCAUAGGUCUGGGAUAACCACGAGAAAUCGGGGCUAAUACCGGAUGUGUCAUCGGACCGCAUGGUCCGCUGAUGAAAGGCGCUCCGGCGUCGCCCAUGGAUGGCUUUGCGGUGCAUUAGCUAGUUGGUGGGGUAACGGCCCACCAAGGCGACGAUGCAUAGCCGACCUGGGAGGGUGAUCGGCCACACUGGGACUGAGACACGGCCCAGACUCCUACGGGAGGCAGCAGUAGGGAAUCUUCCACAAUGGACGAAAGUCUGAUGGAGCAACGCCGCGUGAACGAUGAAGGCUUUCGGGUCGUAAAGUUCUGUUGUAAGGGAAGAACAAGUGCCGCAGGCAAUGGCGGCACCUUGACGGUACCUUGCGAGAAAGCCACGGCUAACUACGUGCCAGCCGCCGCCGCGGUAA
rnacentral:rRNA from 1 species